CGAUGCAAACUGCGAAUACCGGAGAAUGUUAUCACGGGAGACACACGGCGGGUGCUAACGUCCGUCGUGAAGAGGGAAACAACCCAGACCGCCAGCUAAGGUCCCAAAGUCAUGGUUAAGUGGGAAACGAUGUGGGAAGGCCCAGACAGCCAGGAUGUUGGCUUAGAAGCAGCCAUCAUUUAAAGAAAGCGUAAUAGCUCACUGGUCGAGUCGGCCUGCGCGGAAGAUGUAACGGGGCUAAACCAUGCACCGAAGCUGCGGCAGCGACACUAUGUGUUGUUGGGUAGGGGAGCGUUCUGUAAGCCUGUGAAGGUGGCCUGUGAGGGUUGCUGGAGGUAUCAGAAGUGCGAAUGCUGACAUAAGUAACGAUAAAGCGGGUGAAAAGCCCGCUCGCCGGAAGACCAAGGGUUCCUGUCCAACGUUAAUCGGGGCAGGGUGAGUCGACCCCUAAGGCGAGGCCGAAAGGCGUAGUCGAUGGGAAACAGGUUAAUAUUCCUGUACUUGGUGUUACUGCGAAGGGGGGACGGAGAAGGCUAUGUUGGCCGGGCGACGGUUGUCCCGGUUUAAGCGUGUAGGCUGGUUUUCCAGGCAAAUCCGGAAAACCAAGGCUGAGGCGUGAUGACGAGGCACUACGGUGCUGAAGCGACAAAUGCCCUGCUUCCAGGAAAAGCCUCUAAGCAUCAGGUAACAUCAAAUCGUACCCCAAACCGACACAGGUGGUCAGGUAGAGAAUACCAAGGCGCUUGAGAGAACUCGGGUGAAGGAACUAGGCAAAAUGGUGCCGUAACUUCGGGAGAAGGCACGCUGAUAUGUAGGUGAAGCGACUUGCUCGUGGAGCUGAAAUCAGUCGAAGAUACCAGCUGGCUGCAACUGUUUAUUAAAAACACAGCACUGUGCAAACACGAAAGUGGACGUAUACGGUGUGACGCCUGCCCGGUGCCGGAAGGUUAAUUGAUGGGGUUAGCGGUAACGCGAAGCUCUUGAUCGAAGCCCCGGUAAACGGCGGCCGUAACUAUAACGGUCCUAAGGUAGCGAAAUUCCUUGUCGGGUAAGUUCCGACCUGCACGAAUGGCGUAAUGAUGGCCAGGCUGUCUCCACCCGAGACUCAGUGAAAUUGAACUCGCUGUGAAGAUGCAGUGUACCCGCGGCAAGACGGAAAGACCCCGUGAACCUUUACUAUAGCUUGACACUGAACAUUGAGCCUUGAUGUGUAGGAUAGGUGGGAGGCUUUGAAGUGUGGACGCCAGUCUGCAUGGAGCCGACCUUGAAAUACCACCCUU
rnacentral:rRNA from 1 species